GCGAACUCAGGGCCACAGGCGGCGGGAAUAGGUAGGCGGCAGACGUGGGCCGGAGUGACUGGGCAGAAAGGGCGGGCAGGCUGCUAUCGACGUCCAGGGUGAAAUCCCAGAGCUCAACUCGUGGACUGCCUUGGAGACGGGAUGGCUUGAGGAUCGGAGAGGCAAGUGGAAUUCCACGUGUAGCGGUGAAAUGCGUAGAGAUGUGGAGGAACACCUGUGGCGAAGGCGCCUUGCUGGCCGAUUUCUGACGCUGAGGCGCGAAAGCGUGGGGAGCAAACAGGAUUAGAUACCCCGGUAGUC
rnacentral:rRNA from 1 species